rnacentral:rRNA from 1 species
CCUACGUGUGGCAGCAGUGGGGAAUAUUGGGCAAUGGGCGCAAGCCUGACCCAGCAACGCCGCGUGAAGGAAGAAGGCUUUCGGGUUGUAAACUUCUUUUCUCAGGGACGAAGAAAGUGACGGUACCUGAGGAAUAAGCCACGGCCAACUACGGGCCAGCAGCCGCGGUAAUACGUAGGUGGACAGCGUUAUCCGGAUUUAUUGGGUGUAAGGGGCGUGUAGGCGGGGGCGCAAGUCAGAUGUGAAAAGUGAGGGCUCAACCCUGAGCCUGCAUUGGAAACUGUGUUUCUUGAGUGGUGGAGAGGCAGUCGGAAUGCCGGGUGUAGCGGUGAAAUGCGGAGAUAUACGGAGGAACACAAGUGGCGAAGGCGGAUUGCUGGACAGUAACUGACGCUGAGGCGCGAAAGCGUGGGGAGCAAACAGGAUUAGAUACCCUGGUAGUC